rnacentral:rRNA from 1 species
CCGUUCCCAUCCCGAACACGGAAGUUAAGCUCUUCAGCGCCGAUGGUAGUUGGGGGAUUCCCCCUGUGAGAGUAGGACGUUGCCAGGC